UUAGAGUUUGAUCCUGGCUCAGGAUGAACGCUAGCGGCGCGCUUAAUGCAUGCAAGUCGAGGGGUGAGGACGGCUUCGGGCGGGCCACCACCGGCGCACGGGUGAGUAUCACGUUUGUAACCUACCUUUAACACAGGGAUAACCCUAAGAAAUUAGGAUUAAUAUUCCAUAACCUCCUCGAUGGGUAUCGGUUCCUGCUCUCUGGUCCGGGCUUGCGGCACGGCCAUGCGUUGGUUUGGCUAAGGCCUGAGGUAACUGCUCGGGUAGCUACUGUGUUUAGGGGGUCUGAAAGGAGGGUCCCCCACACUGGUACUGAUACUCCGACCAGACUCCUACGGGAGGAUUGCAUGAUGAAUAAUGGUCUGAGGGCGAAAGCCCGAACCAGCCAUGCCGGCCUGAAGGAUGACGGCCCUAUGGGUUGUAAACUUCUUUUAUACGGUACCCAAACCGUCCUACGUGUAGGGCGUUGACCGUACCGUACCAAUAAGCCUCAGCACACUCCCUGCCUCCAGCCGUGCUGAUACUGAAGAUGCAGCCGUUAUCCAGAUUUAUUGUGUUUAAAAGCCGCGUGCGCGGAAAUUGAAAUCCGUACUGAACUCCUGCGGCUCAACCCUACAAAUGUUAUUGAUACUCAAUUUCUUGAAUACAGUUGAGGUAAGCGGAAUGAGAACUGUAACGGUGAAAUGCUCUCCAUAUUACUGUAAACGACGAUUGCGACGCAGCUUACUAAACUGAUAUUGACG
rnacentral:rRNA from 1 species